rnacentral:rRNA from 1 species
UACGUAGGGGGCAAGCGUUGUCCGGAUUUAUUGGGCGUAAAGAGCUCGUAGGUGGUUCGGUAAGUCGGAUGUGAAAUCUCCAGGCUCAACCUGGAGGGGUCAUUCGAUACUGCCGUGACUAGAGGUCGGUAGGGGAGUGUGGAAUUCCUGGUGGAGCGGUGAAAUGCGCAGAUAUCAGGAAGAACACCAACGGCGAAGGCAGCUCGCUGGGACGGUACUGACGCUGAGACGCGAAAGCGUGGGGAGCGAACAGG